rnacentral:rRNA from 1 species
CGUAGGGGGCAAGCGUUGUCCGGAAUCAUUGGGCGUAAAGAGCGUGUAGGCGGCCAGGUAGGUCUGCUGUGAAAACUCGAGGCUCAACUUCGAGAUGUCGGCGGAAACCAUCUGGCUAGAGUCCGGAAGAGGAGAGUAGAAUUCCUGGUGUAGCGGUGAAAUGCGCAGAUAUCAGGAGGAAUACCCGUGGCGAAAGCGGCUCUCUGGGACGGUACUGACGCUGAGACGCGAAAGCGUGGGGAGCAAACAGGAUUAGAUACCCUGGUAGUCCACGCCGUAAACGAUGGGUGCUAGGUGUGGGCGGUGUCGACUCCGUCCGUGCCGAAGCUAACGCAUUAAGCACCCCGCCUGGGGAGUACGGCCGCAAGGCUA